CAAAAUCUAAACUAAGUUAAACCAUUUAUAAUUUGAUUGAAUUAAAUAAAUUUUUUAAAUGUGUCAUUCUAACAAAAUGUGUGUGAUUUUUUUUCAAAUUAAAUAUUAUUUUACUUUAAAAUCGAUACAAACUACACCACAAACACUUGUAAUAUUUAUGCCUUUUUUUUUAAUUAAAAUUGGAUUUAUAUAAUACCAACUACAUAUCUUAAAUAUUUAUUUAUUUGUCAUUUCUAGAAAAUAGCAUGAACAUGUUCAUUAUAAUUUUUUACUAAUUUAAUCACAAUUGAGUUUAAGUAUAUAAUAUGAAAUAAUUAAUGAUUUAAGUUAAUAUGUGGUACUUCUUAUUUUUCCAUUAAUUAUGAUAAUAUAUGUAAAUGAUAGUACAAUAUAAGAACAUAUGUGAGAGGUAUGGAAUACAUUAAUACACCUAUAUUAUGUAUGUGUGUGUCUGAUUUUCACAAAUGUCUAAAACUAUUUUAUGUAGGAGUUUGUCAUACUUCCCCAUUUUUAUCUCUGAUUUUUUAAGAUACAUUUUCUUUAAUUUCAUUUUUUUUUCAGUUUCUUCUUUUUUCUAUCAACAUUUAUUUUGAGUUUUUUAUUUUCACCUUAUUUGUGUCUAAACAAAUCCGAACCUCCUAUAAGUUGACCACCAUAUCUCAAGCCUUCAUAACUAUUUUGGAUUCUUUUGAAGUAUUAACUACAAAUACUUUAUACUAUUAUAUAUAUAUAAUAAAAGAAAACAAUUGUGCCUUUAAUUUAUUUUCAUACAUUGUUUUCUAUUUUUGGUUGAUUCCAUUUUUGCAAUAAUAGAGAUAAAAAUCGUUACACAAAAUAAAAGACUUAAUUUUCAUGCUUAGUGGUCAACAAAAAGUUAAAAUAAGAAAGUGAACAUUUUUUUUUAAUCUUAAAAGAGAUUAUAAAUACUAUAAUGUUCAACUUAACAAUAUCAACAUUUGUCAGUUGAACUAAAAUUUAAGGAUAAAAAGUGAUUAUAUUAUAAAAACCAAAAACAUAAAUUACCCUUAAAAAAAUUACCAAACAUAUUAGUCACUUGCUUCAGAAUUUAAAACAAUAUGCUUACCUAAGUUGACAAACACCUCCCCAAUUCAACCCUUCAAUGCCUUAAUAGGUGUUGGUGACCCCUUAUUCUCACAAUUAGCCAAGUUAUAUAUAUAUAUUACCUAAUCAAGCUUUUUUUUCUUCUUAUAUUUGUUUUGUCCCAUACAUGAUCACUAUAAAUAGCUAUAUAUUAUAUUUAUGUUUCACUACAAUUAAACUCUUGGUUCAACAAGGAUGAAAAUGAAGUCUUUUAUUUUUGUGUUCUUUUUUUUUGUAAUAAUUCUUAUCUCUAUUAAUGCAGAAAUUGAGUCAAUCAAAAAUGAAAAACAAUCUGGUACUACAAUAGAAUCCAAAAUAAUUGAUGAAGGCUUGAGAUACGGUGGUGAACUCGUAGAAGGAAGUAAAAAUAAAUGUCAAAACAAAGGUAAGCAAUCAAAAGAAGAAAUUGAUGAUGAUGAUGAUGACAAGGACGAGGACAACAAGAAAAAAGAAGAAGGUUCAAAAGAAAUAACUUUAAAAAGUCGGGGACGGAAAUGGGGAAAUAAGGGACGUCGAACUCCUUAAAUGAAAAUUUGACGCAUGUAGAUAUAAAAACAUGUUACUCCAUGUUUGGUUUAUGAAUAAAAGGAUGAACAUGUUUCCUUAACUACUAUACUUUCACCAUACUUAAUUAUAUAUACAUAUAUUAUAUAUUAGGAUAAAUAAAUGAAAAAUAAGAUUCUGAUUA